GCUCCUGUAGCCCAAUUGGAAGAAGGCGACAGACUUAAAAUCUGUUUAUGUAAGGGUUCGAGUCCCUUCAGGAGCA
rnacentral:tRNA from 1 species